rnacentral:lncRNA from 1 species
GCCAGGGCUGGCAUGUAUGUUCACACAGAAAUGCUUUGCUUCUGGAAAACCCAGGCUUGUGCAAUCGUUCCGUUGAUUGCAUACGCCGAUUGCUGUAAUUCCUCCUUGCCUUUCAUGCGCGGAAGUAGAGCCUCUUUACAAGAAUUCUGUGCUGUGAGAGAGCCACAUCUGUUUUGAUCGAAUUAUUUCGAUACCAGUAACUAUUGAGCUAUGCUGUCCCACGUCCCGUUUCUUGGUCCAGUUGAUGGUGCAGGAAGGCCGUCAGAGCAGAAGGCCGUACAGCUUUCCCGUUUCCAGCCCUGCAGUUCCCCACUGCCCUGCGCAGGGACCUGGGGGUGCAGUAGCCGAAGCCUUGAAGAAGUUGGACUGUAAGACAGAGCUUUCACCCAAGGAAGCUGAUGCCUGGUUCAUCUUUACCUUGUGUCAUUCCAGUAACCCUCCCUUCGAGCAGCUGCUCUCUGAUGAUGUUUAGCAGUGAGGUGUUUGUACUACAUUAGGUGCGUAUGCUUUAGUUUGAAAUCCUCACU